AUGGGAGGAAGAGGGCUGAGGUGCAGAGCAACUGGAGCCACUCCUUACUCUGGCUGUGCAGCCAACUGCAACAUUCCCAUAGACUAAAUGGGAGACUGUGCUGCUAACUCGGCAUCAUCAGCAGAAGAAUUAUCAUAGCGCAGAGAACUGGAAGCUGCCUUCUUUGAUCAUUUCCAACAAAGGCUGAAUUCCACUCAUGUACUCCCUGUUAAUUAGGCAGAAAAAUGCUCUACCCCUUUCAAACAUCCUUUUCCUGGACUGGGUCUUCUCUUCUCAAAUGUUCUGAACCUCAGCCAGCUCUUGUGUACAUUCAUCUCUAGGAGCUAUUUCCAGUAUGACUAACCGAGCACCAGCUGACUCAACAACUCCAGUUACAGAUUGGCCACAUCCCUAUAUGGCUUUCAUAAAGAUUUGCCGUAGGAGGUUCCAGCAGAACAGUCACGUGAUCGUGUUCAAACAUGCUUUCUGUGUUGGUAAAUUUAUGACUCCACAGUGGGGGAAAAAACUUGUCAGCCCAUUCUGCCUCUGCUGGUCAGAGUGCUUCCCUGCCAAGCCAAUAAAGCAUUGAAGUCUGAA